rfam:Dipodomys ordii contig_29998, whole genome shotgun sequence.
GGGAAGGUAGCUCAGUGGUAGAGUGCAUGCCUUGCAAGCAUGAGGCCCUGGGUUCGAUUCCUUAGCACCA